rnacentral:rRNA from 1 species
GAAUUUUCCGCAAUGGGCGAAAGCCUGACGGAGCAACGCCGCGUGGGGGAUGACACCUUUCGGGGCGUAAACCCCUUUUCUGUGGGAUGAAGACUGACCGUACCACAGGAAGAAGGCCCGGCUAACUACGUGCCAGCAGCCGCGGUAAUACGUAGGGGCCGAGCGUUGUCCGGAAUUACUGGGCGUAAAGCGCGCGCAGGCGGCUGAUCAAGCCUGACGUGAAAGCCCCCGGCUCAACCGGGGAGGGUCGUCGGGGACUGGUUGGCUUGAGGGCGGUAGGGGCCGGUGGAAUUCCCGGUGUAGUGGUGAAAUGCGUAGAGAUCGGGAGGAACACCAGUGGCGAAGGCGGCCGGCUGGGCCGACCCUGACGCUGAGGCGCGAAGGCGUGGGGAGCGAACGG